rnacentral:rRNA from 1 species
UACGGGGGGGGCAAGCGUUGUUCGGAAUUACUGGGCGUAAAGGGCUCGUAGGUGGCCAACUAAGUCAGACGUGAAAUCCCUCGGCUUAACCGGGGAACUGCGUCUGAUACUGGAUGGCUUGAGUUCGGGAGAGGGAUGCGGAAUUCCAGGUGUAGCGGUGAAAUGCGCAGAUAUCGGGAAGAACACCCGUGGCGAAGGCGGCUCUCUGGGGACGGUACUGACGCUGAGACGCGAAAGCGUGGGGAGCGAACAGG